AUUGAACGCUGGCGGCAGGCCUAACACAUGCAAGUCGAACGAGAGGCGGACGGGUGAGUAAUGUAUGGGGAUCUGGGUGAUAGAGGGGGAUAACUACGGGAAACGGUGGCUAAUACCGCGUACCAUAGGUGGAGCCCAAAUGGGAUUAGGUAGUAGGUGAGGUAAAGGCUCACCAAGUCGACGAUCUCUAGCUGGUCUGAGAGGAUGAUCAUCCACACUGGUACUGAGACACGGCCCAGACUCCGACGGGAGGCAGCAGUGGGGAAUAUUGCACAAUGGGCGAAAGCCUGAUGCAGCCAUGCCGCGUGGAUGAAGAAGUCCUUAGGGUUGUAAAGUACUUUCAGCAGGGAGGCGUUACCCGCAGAAGAAGCACCGGCUAACUCCGUGCCAGCAGCCGCGGUAAUUC
rnacentral:rRNA from 1 species